rnacentral:rRNA from 1 species
UACGUAGGGCGCAAGCGUUGUCCGGAAUUAUUGGGCGUAAAGAGCUCGUAGGCGGCCAGUUGCGUCUGCUGUGAAAUCCCGGGGCUCAACCCCGGGCGUGCAGUGGAUACGGGCUGGCUAGAGGCAGGCAGGGGAGAACGGAAUUCCCGGUGUAGCGGUGAAAUGCGCAGAUAUCAGGAGGAACACCGGUGGCGAAGGCGGGUCUCUGGGCCGAUACGGACGCUGAGGAGCGAAAGCGUGGGGAGCGAACAGG